UGUAAGUGGAUUAUGUCACAAAGUGGGAUGCAACAAACACUGGGAGGAGGUUGGCAUCCAGGGUGUUCAGCGGAGGCUGGUACUGCUGUCCCUAUACCUCUCACCAUGUAGCAUCUCAUACCUGCAUCCUAUAAACCAUUCCCCCAACCUGUGCCCCUUCCAAAUACACAAGGACACACCAGCCCUUUCCACCCCACAUCCUGUCCCAAGAAAUAAAGCAACAGGAGCAAGUUGAUCUUCUGCACGGGUGGCAACAGUGCAGAUCCUUCAUCAUCAGUCUAUAGGUAGACCAGUUGUCAGGCUCCCAGACCUGUACAAUCCAAUGACCCUCUCUUACCAAGCCAUCUACCCACCCUUUCUCACAAGAGCCCAAAACAGACCACAGGAAACUCAUCCGCUCACAUUUGCUUGCUUUUAUUUGCAGUACCACAAGAGGACUCUGUGGUAACUGUCAACGGAGCUGUCGAUGUCCAUGACUUGAUCUGACUCAGCAUCCAGACUUCUGAGGAGUUGAGAGGUCUUGAGCAUGCUGAGUCCCUGACUUGGCCAGGUCCUCAGUAGAGACUCUGGUGCUCACUGAGACCCCUUCUUGACCAGGAUCAUUCUUGCGCGGCUCCACGUUGAGCCGACAGUGGCGCUCAGGAGAGGACAUUGCCCCAUCUCUCGCAAGAGUUCUCAAAGUUCUGUCAGCGAGUCUUUUCCUCAGCCUCCUACGUCGCCGGGAUCUUCUUCGCCUCAUGAAAAUCUUUUGAACCUGUAAGGACAGCACAGUGGUGGGCUGUAAGACCAAAAAGCCACAGGAUAGGGAUCUUGAAGAGUAGAAAUUGAUUUUCUCACAAUUCUGAAGGUGGAAACCCAAGAUCAUGGUUCCAGAGAGAUCAUCUCUUCUGAAGUUUCUGUUUUUCAACAUCUUCAUCCUAUAUCUUGUUGUAUAGUCUUGCCUCUCUGUGUAGCUGUAUUAUCUUCUAUGAUAAGGAUAUCAGUCUACUAGAUAGAAGCAACUAAGACGGUCUUGGUUCAUAUUUUCAGAGAUUUCAGUCCAUCGUGAGGGAGCUAUGGUGGAGUUCAUGUUUGGCCAGAAUGGAUGGCUAUGGCUCCAUAUAUGACACCCAGAAGGAGGCUCUGCUGGAAGAAGUAUUUUGUCACAGCAAUGAGAAAAGCAGCUAAAUCUGGAGAACUUGGUACUGGGAGUCCCUUGCUGUGAUUGAGCCUGAUCACGUGAUGCACGUGUUUUGACACUUGUUGGCAAGAGGAUGUGGAAGAGUUUGGAGCUGUGGGCUAGAGAAGCCCCAGAGAGCAUAAACAGAGAUUAACAGGCCAUCUUGGUUGGGAGGACGAAAGACCAGAAUGCUUAUACAAAUGCUGAUAGCAAACAUUGUGCUAUGAGGAUUCAGAUGGGAAUGAGGAGUUUACCAGGAACUUGAUCGACCCAAGACCAUUUAGGUUACACUCUGGCAAAGAAUUUGGCUACUUUCUGCCUAUGCUCUCAAAACUGGUGUGAAGUUGAAUUAACUGAAUGCAUAUGCCACACAGCCAUACAUGAGUGGAAACACAUACAUCAAACUAAAAAACAAAUGCAAUAUCAAAAACAAAAUUUUCAAAAAGUAAUGAACUGAUUAAUACAUUUGGUAGAGGGAAUUUUACCACAUCCUACCCUUCAAGUGGAGGCGUCAUUAUUGCUGGACGUACUUAGUCAGCUUUACAGUGAGAAAAGGCAGGGAUUAUUUUGCCUCAUGGUUUCAGAUGUUUCCGUCCAUUUUAGCAAAAAAGGCAUGGGACACAGAAGAAACAGACAGCACAGAUAGAACCAGAGCUGUAUAGAACCUUCAAGGCCUGUUCCUAGUGACCCACUUCUGCCAGGGUGGCCCCAUGUCCCGAAGCUGAGAACCACGUGUUCAAACAUUUGAGUCUGUGGGGCAUUCAAACCAUAACACUCCAUCCUUGUGUGGCUAAGGAGCACUUAAAAUUAGUUCAACUUCUUUAGCCAUCAGAGAAAUGCAGAUUAAAAUUACUUUGAGGUUCCAUUUCACAUAGUCAGAAUGGCCAUCAUCAGAAAUACAAAUGACAGCAAAUGCUGACAGGGGUGUGGGGAAGGGAAAGCCUUGUACAUUGUUUGUGAGAGUCUAAGCAGGUGGAGCCCCUUGGAUUUCCAUAGGACUAGCUAUACCUCUCCUGGUAUAUAGUCAAAGGAUGCUUCAUUCUAGCACAGAGACGCAUCCAUCUUCAUUGCCGCUCUAUUCACAAUUCCUAGGAAAUGAACUUAAUCUUCAUGUAUAAAAUUUGCAAGGAAAUGUAUGAAAUAAAAUGCUAUAUUGAAUGAGGUAACCCAGACUCAUAUAGACAAAUGCCACAUGUUCUCUUAUACAUGUAAAUACUACUUUUGAGUUGUUAGUUGUUUGUAUUUAACUCAAAGUAUGGGUAGAAGCCAAAAAACUAGAAAGGGGCUUUAGGAGGGGUGCACUAAGUGGGAGUGAUACUGGCAACUAGGUAAAAUGAGAUAAGAGAGGGAAAAUACUGGGAAAGAAACGUUUGAAUAGCAAAGGGAUGAAGGGAUGUGGAAGCAGGGAGGGUUAACCAAAACAAACCGUUUAUGAAAAAGCCAUUGGAAACCUACUAUUAUUUAUUUAUUUAUUUAUUUAUUUAUUUAUUUAUUUAUUUAUUUAAUUAUUGGUUUGUUUUU